AACGAACGCUGGCGGCAUGCCUAACACAUGCAAGUCGAACGAGACCUUCGGGUCUAGUGGCGCACGGGUGCGUAACGCGUGGGAAUCUGCCCUUGGGUCCGGAAUAACAGUUAGAAAUGA
rnacentral:rRNA from 1 species